ACAAGCGGAGGAACAUGUGGUUUAAUUCGAUGAUCGCGAGGAACCUUACCUGGGCUUAAAUGUAGAGUGCAUUGAGAGGAAACUUUCAUUUUCUUCGGAACUUCUUUACAAGGUGCUGCAUGGUUGUCGUCAGCUCGUGCCGUGAGGUGUCGGGUUAAGUCCCAUAACGAGCGCAACCCUUAUCGUUAGUUGCCAGCGGGUAAUGCCGGGAACUCUAGCGAAACUGCCGGUGUAAACCGAGAGGAAGGUGGGAUGACGUCAAAUCAGCACGGCCCUUAUGUCCAGGGCUACACACGUGUUACAAUGGCCGGUACAGAGGGCAGCUACCUGGAGACAGGAUGCGAAUCUCGAAAGCCGGUCUCAGUUCGGAUCGGAGUCUGCAACUCGACUCCGUGAAGCUGGAUUCGCUAGUAAUCGCGCAUCAGCCAUGGCGCGGUGAAUACGUUCCCGGGCCUU
rnacentral:rRNA from 1 species